rnacentral:rRNA from 1 species
CUCCCCGUCAUCCCUUGGCUAUCUAACUUGUGGAAGGCCCCCAUGCCCUUGAAGAUAAAGAUUUUCAUUUGGCAGCUUCUUAGAGAUUGCCUCCCUUCGGGAAUCGAGGUUCUCAAACGACAGGGGCCGGGUGAUGAACUUUGCCCUUUAUGCAGGGUCGCGAAGACUAUGGCCCAUAUUAUAUUCUUGUGCAUGAUGGCUCGGGUCCUUUGGCAGUUCGUUCAUGAGGCACUAGGGCCCGACUGGGAGGCCCUGGAUCUCGUGGACUUCCUCCAGGCCAGGGCUACCUUGCUAGGACGACACCGCCGCACAUUGUGGCUGAUCUUUGCGGCCAUGUCAUGGACUCUUUGGACGACAAGAAAUAAAAUGGUGAUUAAGAAGGUGUUCCCGAGGCAGGCAUCUGACUCUUUGUUUGAAUUCCUUACUUUUCUGCAGUAA